GACGAACGCUGGCGGCGUGCUUAACACAUGCAAGUCGAACGGUGAGGCGCCUUCCUUUUUGGUGGGUGUGGAUGAGUGGCGGACGGGUGAGUAACACGUGAGUAACCUUCCCCCUCCUGCUGGAUAACCGCAUGACAGUGUUGCUAAUACGGGAUAUUCUGAAUCUGUUGCUUGAUGGGUCUGGGACGGUUUUUGUUUCAGUGGUGGAUGGGUUCGCGGACUAUCAGCUUGUUGGUGGGGUGAUGGCCUACCAAGGCGGUGAAGGGUAGCCGGCCUGGGAGGGUGGACGGUCACAGAGGGGAUGCGCCGCCCUGCAGACUACUACAGGCGGCAGUAGUGAAGCAUAUUGAACAGUGGGAGGAAGGAUGAAGCAGCGACGCGGCGGGGGGGAAGGAGGCCGUCGCGUUGUGAACCUCUUUCGCGAGUGAACAAGUGCGGCAUUGUUUGUGGGUAGGUUGACGGUAGCUGGUUAAGAAGCGACGGCUAACUACGUG
rnacentral:rRNA from 1 species